GACGAACGCUGGCGGCGUGCUUAACACAUGCAAGUCGAACGGAGUGGCGAACGGGUGAGUAACACGUGGGUGACCUUCCCUGCACUUCGGGGUAAGCCUGGGAAACUGGGUCUAAUACCGGAGAGUGUGGGAUGGGCCCGGGGCCUAUCUGCUUGUUGGGGGGGUAAUGGCCUACCAAGGCGGCGAAGGGUAGCCGGCCUGGGGGGGGGGACGGCCACAUGGGGACUGAGACAGGGCCCAGAGUGCUACGGGAGGCAGCAGUGGGGAAUAUUGCACAAUGGUCGGAAGUCUGAUGCAGCGACGCUGCGUGGGGGAUGACGGCCUUCGGUGUGUAAACUCCUUUCACCAUCGACGCGGUAGAUGGAGAAGAAGCACCGGCUAACUACGUGCCAGCAGCCGCGGUAAUUC
rnacentral:rRNA from 1 species